rnacentral:tRNA from 1 species
GAGGGUAUAGUUCAGUGGUAGAGUGCAUGCUUAGCAUGCACGAGGUCCUGGGUUCAAGCCCCAGUACCUCUG